ACAAGAGGGGAGGUGAGUGUGGAGGUGGGAUAAAUGGGUUAUGGGUAUUAAGUAGGACACUUGUUAUGAUGAACACUGGGUGUUAUAUGGAAGUGAUGACUCACUAAAUUCUACUCCUGAAACCAAUAUUACAUUACAUAUUAACUAGAAC